UGGGCUGCUGCAAGGUUGAAGCUACAGGCAUGGUGGUUCCUCUCGCUAUCCAGGGCACAACUUCUUUGAUACCACUGGACGUUGAGGAACUACAUUU